GUUGGGAUAGCUCAGC
rnacentral:tRNA from 2 species